GAGGAUAUAGCUUAGUGGUAAAGUGCAUGCCUAGCAUGCACAAGGUCCUGGAUUCAAUUCCCAGUACCUCU
rnacentral:tRNA from 1 species